UGCUAUACGUUUUAGCUGUUGAGGAUUGUCGAGAGUCAUUCUUAUUUGUAAUGUAAUUCAUUCAAAAAUGAAUUUUCUGAUUGACUGUAAAAGAAAUUAAGGUUACACCCCAAAUUAAUUAAUUUAUGCAGUAUUAGGAGUUAGUUUAUAUUCAAGUAUGCAAAAGGAAAAACAAUAUAUAAAAUUAAAAUGCACACAAAGAAACAGACUAGUCA
rnacentral:lncRNA from 1 species